UCUCUGUACACAUCCUGUUAGACCUCUGGGCUGAAUUUGAGUCAUCAUCCUUUGAACCAGGUUGCAGACAUGCUGGAGCUGUCUGGGUGAGAAGCUGGGUAAACCCUGGAAAGGUCAUCAGCACAUUACAGUACAGGGCCACAGAACACUCCCAAUUAUAUGCAGCAGAGGCUGAGCGCUAUCUCUGCAGGGAGAGGCAACAUUCAAAGCCACUGGAUGAUGAUUGCAAUGACAGGACAAUCACGCUGCCAGCUCCAAUAAGAUCAUUUAUUGUCAUGGAAAUUGAAGACUCAAAGAAAGUGAAAGCUCAGUGUGGUGUAAACAUAAACGAAACAUAAAGAGAUGACUAUAAAAACCCAAAGAACAUUCUGCAGCCUCAUUAUUUGUGCAUGACUUUGUGGAGGAGGGUGAGAAAAAGCAGAUCAGCUUUCUGCUGCACAGUGUUUCCUACCAGGAAUCAGGAAACGGGCGCGAGGCCUGAGGACGGCUCCUUUGUGACCCUGCGCCAGUGGUCGUCUUUCCACGUGGACCCGAAAAACGUCAUAAAAUGUUCAUUAAAUGUGCGACUGCUCUGUUUUUGCUUUGUUGUUUUUUAUGCGUAAUGUUCUGCAUCAGUCACAAAUUCUCUGCUGACUGUCUGUACAUUUUAUUAUGGACUCCUGGGAAAUAAAGCACAUUUUUAUUCCC